CUGAGAAAGAAACGACGUCGUUUUGUUCUAACAGAGCAGCUAAACGGGAGUUUUAA
rnacentral:sRNA from 1 species